UGAUUUUUUCGGGACAGAUCCUCGUUUAAUUAUGACAAACUCACACCUAACUACUUAGAAUCACUCACUACUACGUGAAUAAUAAUUUUUUAAGAUUUUAAUUAAAAU
rfam:Populus trichocarpa isolate Nisqually-1 chromosome 5, whole genome shotgun sequence.